rnacentral:SRP_RNA from 1 species
GCCGGGGAAUUCUUGGGUGCGAAGCAUCCGAACCAGGUCAGGACCGGAAGGUAGCAGCCUUAAGGAUCUGUUUCGUUGCCAAGAAACCUCUCCGGCUUU